GACGAACGUUGGCGGCGUGCUUAACACAUGCAAGUCGAACGCUGAAGCUCAGCUUUUGUUGGGUGGAUGAGUGGCGAACGGGUGAGUAACACGUGAGUAACCUGCCCCCUUCUUUGGGAUAACGCCCGGAAACGGGUGCUAAUACUGGAUAUUCACUGGUCUUCGCAUGGGGGUUGGUGGAAAGGGUUUUUCUGGUGGGGGAUGGGCUCGCGGCCUAUCAGCUUGUUGGUGGGGUGAUGGCCUACCAAGGCUUUGACGGGUAGCCGGCCUGAGAGGGUGACCGGUCACAUUGGGACUGAGAUACGGCCCAGACUCCUACGGGAGGCAGCAGUGGGGAAUAUUGCACAAUGGGCGCAAGCCUGAUGCAGCGACGCCGCGUGAGGGAUGGAGGCCUUCGGGUUGUGAACCUCUUUCGCUCAUGGUCAAGCCGCAACAAUGGUUGUGGUGAGGGUAGUGGGUAAAGAAGCGCCGGCUAACUACGUG
rnacentral:rRNA from 1 species